ensembl:antisense Gm17634 predicted gene, 17634
UGUGUAAGCGAAGCUCACAGGAGAGGUGAACAGGAAGGAGCAGGUACUGGGGCUAUAAAGAAGCCUAAAGGGUCUACUAAGUUUACCCUAUUGCCCACCUUAAAACCCAACUUCAGGCUCAGAGGGAAAGUGCUUGCUUGCCUAGGGCGCAUGAAUCUGGAUUUAUCCUCUGUACUCCUAAACAGAAACAAAGCCCUUACCUUAGGGAUAUGCUUUUAAUGUCAUGUAACCCCAGGAAAAUCUAAAGAUAAGGUUUCUUCCUGCUUUUUCACUUAACAUAUAGUGGAGAAAUGGGGAGAUAGGUGUCCCCUGCUGGUCUGGGGCACCAUGCCUGAGUUCUGGGGCCUUUUGAGAUCCAUUCUAUUAAGAAACUGAGAAGUGACCUGC